rnacentral:rRNA from 1 species
CGUGGGCGUUGGAAGAUUGAAGGGAGUUGCUCCUAGUACGAGAGGACCGGAGUGAACGAACCUCUGGUGUUCGGGUUGUCACGCCAGUGGCACUGCCCGGUAGCUAAGUUCGGAAUCGAUAACCGCUGAAAGCAUCUAAGCGGGAAGCGAGCCCUGAGAUGAGUCAUCCCUGACCCCUUGAGGGUCCUAAAGGGCCGUUGGAGACCACAACGUUGAUAGGUGGGGUGUGUAAGCGUAGCGAUACGUUGAGCUAACCCAUACUAAUUACCCGUGAGGCUUAACCAUACAACACCCAAGAAGUGUU